rnacentral:rRNA from 1 species
UACAGAGACUGCGAGCGUUAUUCGGAUUCACUGGGCGUAAAGGGUGCGUAGGCGGUCGGGUAAGUCUGAUGUGAAAUCUCACAGCUUAACUGUGAAACUGCAUUGGAUACUAUCCGGCUAGAGGAAUGGAGGGGAGACUGGAAUACUUGGUGUAGCAGUGAAAUGCGUAGAUAUCAAGUGGAACACCAGUGGCGAAGGCGAGUCUCUGGACAUUUCCUGACGCUGAGGCACGAAAGCCAGGGGAGCAAACGGG